rnacentral:misc_RNA from 1 species
GAUGAAACCAACUGGACCAAAGACUCGAUCAAUGAAGACGUCUAAGGGUUCUUCUCCGUCUGCCAAGGAAGCGGAUAUUGAGAUUGAGAUCGCCGAGGUUCUUUUCGGACUAAAGAAACAACCACAGUGCUCCAAAAAGCAAGUUAAUGUGAAACCAUCAUCGAAGCAAGAAACAGAGAAUUCCAGUGUUCUUCAAGACGGUUCCAAGUCUUCAGUUACAUCUACAACGGCAAACUCUGCACAAACUGCCUUCCAAAAAUCUGUUUCGCUUCAAAAGAAUGGCG